GGGUCCGUAGCUCAGUUGGGAGAGCGUAGCAUUCGCAUUGCUGAGGUCGUGAGUUCGAAUCUCAUCGGAUCCA
rnacentral:tRNA from 1 species